rnacentral:rRNA from 1 species
UAGCCUACGGGGGGCAGCAGUGAGGAAUAUUGGUCAAUGGGCGGAAGCCUGAACCAGCCAAGUCGCGUGAGGGAGUAAGGCCCUACGGGUCGUAAACCUCUUUUGCCGGGGAGCAGUGCCCAGCUCGUGAGCUGGGAGGGAGCGUACCCGGAGAAAAAGCAUCGGCUAACUACGUGCCAGCAGCCGCGGUAAUACGUAGGGGGCAAGCGUUAUCCGGAAUUACUGGGUGUAAAGGGUGAGUAGGCGGCAUGGUAAGCCAGAUGUGAAAGCCUUGGGCUUAACCCAAGGAUUGCAUUUGGAACUAU